CCUACGGGAGGCAGCAGUGAGGAAUAUUGGUCAAUGGACGCAAGCCUGAACCAGCCAUGCCGCGUGCAGGAAGACGGCUCUAUGAGUUGUAAACUGCUUUUGUACGAGGGUAAACGCAGAUACGCGUAUCUGUCUGCAAGUACCGUACGAAUAAGGAUCGGCGAACUCCGUGCCAGCAGCCGCGGUAAUACGGAGGAUUCAAGCGUUAUCCGGAUUUAUUGGGUUUAAAGGGUGCGUAGGCGGUCGGAUAAGUUAGAGGUGAAAUCCCGGGGCUCAACUUCGGAAUUGCCUCUGAUACUGGUCGGCUAGAGAGUAGUAGAGGUAGGCGGAAUGUAUGGUGUAGCGGUGAAAUGCUUAGAGAUCAGGCAGAACACCGAUUGCGAAGGCAGCCUACCAAGCUACUUCUGACGUUGAGGCACGAAAGCGUGGGGAGCAAACAGGAUUAGAUACCCUAGUAGUC
rnacentral:rRNA from 1 species